rnacentral:rRNA from 1 species
UGGACGAGAUAUAAGCUGUUUCAUUUAAAAUUUAUAUAGAAUUUUAUUUUUUAGUUAAAAAGCUAAAAUAUGAUCAAAAGACGAGAAGACCCUAUAAAUCUUAAUUAUUUAAUAAUUUUUAAUUUAUUUUGGUUUUUUUUGUUAUAAAUUUAUUAAAUAAUUUUAUUGGGGUGAUAUUAAAAUUUAAAUAACUUUUAAUAAUUUUUGUCAUUUAUUUAUGAUUAAGUGAUCCAUUAUUAGUGAUUAAAAAAUUAAGUUACUUUAGGGAUAACAGCGUAAUUUUUUUGGAGAGUUCUUAUCGAUAAAAAAGUUUGCGACCUCGAUGUUGGAUUAAGAUUCAUAUUUAAAUGUAGAAGUUUAAAUAUUAAGUCUGUUCGACUUUUUAUUCUUACAUGAUCUGAGUUCAAACCGGUGUAAGCCAGGUUGGUUUCUAUCUUUGAUUUAAUAAAAUAUUUUAGUACGAAAGGAAUUAAUAUUUAU